AAUUCAUGUAAAUAAUGCGUAUUCCAAGAGGCCGCAUAUAUAUCUGCACAAUUAAAUUUCCAAUUAUUCAUGCCACGAAGAAACAGGAUGUAAAAUAAUAUGCGCGCUAAUUACGUUCGGCAUAGGUACUUUAUUACUUAUGAAUAGGACAUGAAAAUUUUGCAGACAUAUUGCGGAAAACAUUCAUCCUCUUGGAAAUAUUUUAUAGAUGUUCAUAAAAGCCACAAGUAUAUAGAUAUGUAUAAAUUUUACGAUAUGGCAUCGUAAGCUGAGAUAUUUAUAGCGAAAAGAUGAUGUCGCGCGAAUACUUUCUUAAUUUACUGCAAUUCUUGGCGAACAGCCCUGACGUUGUGUGUUUAGCCGUUUGCAGACGAGACAUUACCUUCGUUUCCAAAAUACACUGUCAUACCGCCUGCCAUAACGUGGGGCGCAUUCUAAGGAACUAUAUUGAUUUAUUAUUUGCUUAUGAUUCAAUCAGACAUUAGAUUUUUCGAAUUGCUUUUGACGUGUACAAUUGACUAUGUUUAACAUUUGUUAGCACUUUGCCAAUUGAAUUGAAAGAUUUCCUUGUAGAAUACAUCACAGUAGAUAUUCUGUGAAAGAGAAAAGAGAAAACAAAGGACGUCGUACAAUUAAUCCUAGCCAAAAAUUAAGGCAUCAUAUGUUUAUUCAUAAAAUCGAUAUAAUUCAGUGAAAGUUAUAAUAUCACAGAGCAAUUACUAUGCGAUAUUUUCGCAAAAAAGACCAAUAUUUCUCAAGUGGUCAGUAACUAAGCAUUCCAAUUCGUCUCGGUUCGUUGCAAUAUCGAGUUUCCAACAUCUUGUCUCUCGCAAUUGAUCACUCUCUUCCUCCUCUGUGGUAAAUUAAAUUAAUUAAACCUCAUCAUGGUCUGAGAUGUGCGAAGGUGCUACGGCCGAUUUCUGUAAUUUGAAAGAUCCCAUUUGGUGGUCUUGUCCAGUGUCACUCGAAGUAAAUUAAGGGCAGAGGAUAUAGAUAGAAAUAGAAAUACGUGGGUGGGGAAAACGAGAGCAAAAUAUGAAUGACAAAUGGCAAAUUUCAAAUAAAUUAAAUAAGUCUGAAUUACAGGUAAUUGAUCGAUCUCAGGAAAAGGUAUUACAUAUGACAUUACUUCUUUUUUACUAGUUAAGCUAUUUAGAUUUAUGUAUUAAUAAUUGAAAUACCAUUUUUCUGUGCAUAUUUUAAGCGGAUGUCGAACAAUCUCAUACAAUGUUAAUUAAAAUCAUUUCCUCUUCGAAUAAUUAAUUUCCGUUCUAUUAAUAAUUAUCAGCUAUCGAUAGGCAAUACAUAUUCAAUUUUAACUCUGGCGAGUCGGCGAUUCGGAAACGUACGUAAAGCUCGCGGUGUAUUUUUAACAUCGAGAUGCUCUCGUCUGUGAAAGUGUCUCCUCUGGUAGACUACAUUUUGGAGAGCAUAAUCGCGUUUAGUAUUGUCGCUCGAUGGCGAAAGCUCGAUCUACAUACAUGACAAGGUGCGAAUAAGUUCGUGAAAUUUACAUUAUGAUUUGUGAGAGUUCGAUCUGGGCGUAUGCGGAACGGAAAGAUUUUCGAUUUUCGAUCGAUCGAUGUAAUUUAUUGAUACGAUGACACUUCGAUCUGCAUGAAAUCUUCCGAUUGUAACAAUUUUUUUUUCAAAUUUACAUAUGUGAUUUGAGGUGAUGACAAAGAUUUAAAGUGUGCUUAAAAAGCGUGACAAUUCAUGCCAAGUAUUGGUGAUUUAUCUCAUACGGAUUUCAUACAAUCCAAAGAAUUAAUGAUUAGAGAUUCACACAAUGCAUGCUGGUAUCAGGAGCACGUUUCUCGGGAUGAGGAUAUUUCCGCGCCGGAGACGAAAAUCGCCCGACCAUGGGAGAAGGUAAUCAUUGUCUGAUGCGACUACUAAUUAUCUCCGUUCGGGUUGUGGAACAUUUGCUUAAUUGACAAAUUAGAUCGUAUUCUGUGAAAGAGAAGUUGUUAGACAAAUAAAGAGUAUUACUGCUGA